rnacentral:misc_RNA from 1 species
CGCACGUUCGAGUGCGUGCGCGUGUCGCUAUGCGCAUCCUUGCGUGACCCUUCCUGGCCUCUUGCCGUUUCGUCGCUCUUUGCACCGCGACACGCAGGUGUGUUUGUGUGUGUGGAAGAGGGCGGAGCCCCUGAGGACUUGUUUUUGUCUCUCCGUGUUUAAUUCGGUACGUCCCCUGUUUUACAUAUGAUGCUGUGUUUGCGCAUGCUGAGAUACCUAGGCGUGAAAACCGUGUAGCCAGAGACAGAGCCACAUGCAUGAAGGGAGCGUAAACAGGCGGUGGCCAGUGACUGAAUCACUAAGGGUGAUGCCUGCGGGCUUACUGUGAAGUAGAACGGUUCUCUCGACGCUUGAGACUACGCUCACUGCUCCUGUGCGGGUGCGUGCGCGUAUGCACGCCUCGUGGCUGCUUCUUUUCCAUUCGCGCAUCGCCUAUCAUUGCGGUUGCACUCAUCCCACUCGCGUUUCCGAGACCACACGCUCGCUUUCUCACUUCUGUAUCUGGAUUACCCCCUCCAUACCCUGCCCUUGCACCCUUCACACUCCCACUGCGCAUCUGCGCGCUGACACCAACAUGAAUGUUCUCCAUCGCCAUUCCCUCUGCCGUUCGUCCAUGCCGCACUUCUGCAG